AUAUUUACACAGCUGUCUUUUUUUAACUAUGGUUUUACUAAAGCAACUAUUUUUCUUAUAGGAAAGAGCUAUGGUGUUAAAUGAUCAGUAUAAUAAAGUACAUUAAAAUACAGGACAGGAUGUUGUCUUUAUGAAGGAAAAUAGUAUUGUGUGAUUCAUCAUAGCUCUGGAUUAUUUUGCUCAGUUGUCCGAGGGCCCGUUUGGAUGUUUUUAACAUGGUUAAUCGAGUGUGAGAACUGCUAGACAUAUUUAGAUGCUGACAUAUCAAAUUGGAACAAUUUUGACGACUCUUAAAACUUUUGCUGUAAAGAAAUAGUGCAGAAACCACUUCAAAAUUACCAAGGAGAAUAACAUUGAAAAAAAAACUUUCGAAAACUUCCUGAAAUACGAUUUCAACCAUGAUUCGACAUCUUAGCUUUUUAAGGGAUCUUAAACGGAAUAGACUUGUAACAGUGAUUGCUGAAAUCGAUAAGUCGCAGAAGUAUUCAGAAGAUUAUGGUUUGCUAUAAUUCUACGUAUGCCACCUUUGUCGUUGCGUUAUUUCUAUUUAUCUAAGAACAAUUCAAUUUAAAAUUUUCAUGAAACUGAAAGUGUGAACAUUCAAUUCACUUCACCGGAGAGAUUUGAUUGCGAAACUUUCAUUGAAAGAGGAUCAUUAACUAUGAGGUUAAACGUGAACAACUUUCGUGCAUAUAAAGACCGAAGUCUGUAAAUGCAGCCAAGAUAACUUAUUAAAAUUUUUGUUUAUACUUUA